rnacentral:misc_RNA from 1 species
AAGAGUUGCAAGACUCCCAAAACCCUAUGUGAACCGUACCACAGUUCGUUGCUUCGGCAGGCGGCCCCAGGGCGGGGCCUGCCGCCCGGGUCUCCCGGGUGCCUGCCGGGGGGAUACAAAACUCUGUAAUUUUUAGCCGUCUGAGCCACCAAAACAAAUAAAUUA